AACUUUGCACAGUGGCAGUAUCAGAGCCAAUGAGGUUUAUCCAAGGUGCGAUUAUUGCUAAUUGAAAAAUAAAAUAAAAUAAGGAUCCAGGCUGGCCAACAAAAGGCCCUGCACCUAAUCAUUCUGUGAACUGCUCCUCUAGAGA